GGGCCCGUAGUUCAACGGUAGAACGUGGCUAUGGCAUGGCUAAGAUGGGGGUUCGAUUCCCCCCGGGUCCACAA
rnacentral:tRNA from 1 species